ACUUUUUUUUCAAUCAUUAAGAACAUCAAAAGUGUUUAACAUAGGAAGGAUAGCACAAUGCAUGUUAACCUAUUGUCACUCUCCUCUUCUCUCUUCCACAGGGAAGCCUGCAGGUAUCUUGUUCAUUUUGUUAUUCCAUGGCACCUCGUUCUGUUCCCCUAUGCUGAUAAAUCAGGCUGAUCAUAUCUGGUGAAAAGGAAGUGGAAAAGACUCCUGGUGCUCUAUAAGACACACACAAGCCAGAGAAUGGAAGAUUCAGACCCUGCAGAUUUUAGGGGCCAAUGGUCUGGAGGAUGCUGGGACAUGCCCUCCAAGUUAAGGACAAGUUAUUGAACUUGCACCCUCUACCAUUAAGAUGGAAAGUGUGUAGACUUUUGUAUCAUGGAAUGUCAACAAAAGAGUAUUCAGCUGAGGAGGCAAAGAUAAGGUGGACAGGAUGAUUCUUUCAGUAGACUUCAGCCAGCCUUGUCCUUGACCACUUGAGGCUUGCACAACAAACCCAUAAGUGAAUCCCUCUGUCAUCAUUACUGAUAGUCUACAGAACGCCUACUACCAACAUGGUAUCGUGCAUUACCUCACCUCAGAUCAAGAACUAUUUUGUGGCAAAUGAAGAGCAACAUGAAUUACUGGAUCCAUGAUCCUAACAUAUGCAGCAUUAUCUAGAAGCAGUCAAAAAGGAACCACAAAAUGAACUAUUACUUAGACACCAGCUUGGAGACGACAGCGUGCAGGGCUGGGGUGCUGUUUUUCAGGAUGGGAUACAUGCACUGUUCCAAAAGCCAGUAUGUGAUUCCACAUCCCCAACUGCUAGGAUUCAUGCAGCUAAGAGCCAAGGGGAUAGAAAGAGGACUGGCCCUCCAGUAUUCUCAGAGACCUACAGGCAUAAUGGUGCUUCCCACCCUUACCACGUUGGAGGUCACCAAGGUGGUCACCUUGAUAAGGUGGUAAGGUGGUCACCUUACCACGGGAUUGGAGGUUAUUUCAGGGGAACAGGAAAAAGCUAGCACAUUUCUAUCAAGAAGCACAGUAAGAUUUAAACAGAACUGCAGCCAACUGAUCCUGCUGGACUGCUCAUGUCUCUGGGGCAACAAGCAAAAAAAAGGGGAGUUAAUGUGUUGGUUAACAAGGAGCUAAAAUUACAACUACAAAAUGAAACAAGGAAAAUGUAUCUGGAACUCAUGCAAUUCAGUGAUUUGCCUGAUUCCUGAUGCUUCCAUGCCUGGUGUGAACAGCAAACAGACAAAUGUGGUAACUGUAGCUGAAAAGGGGCACAGUAACCAAGGCCCUAGAUCUUGGAAAGGAUGAAGGUCUGGGUCACUCUACCAGGCAGCUAAACUAGACCUGCUGAAUUUCUGGAAGAGAGCAAGCAAAGUCUCAAAUUGGUAGUGCAGGAAGAGGAUGAUGAAUAUGAGUUUUGGUCUUUGGUUCAGUUGUAGCAACAGGAGCGAUAGCUUGUCUCACUAAUCCUCCUGGGUAGUCUUCAACAGACUGUGACUCCUCAUCACUUUGAAGAUAUGGUGAUGGGUAGACUUAACAUGGGACUCAAUUCUGAAUAGGCAAGGGGUAGACAGCAGAAAACACUUCUUUUGUCCCACAUCACAUCCUUUUGUCAGCUUCUGCCAUCAGCUCACUCUGAACCACACUGAAACUACCUACAAUUUAAUCUCUAUCUGAUGACAAAUAUCUGAAUUUGAUGGUAUAUCUAACUAAUGCACAAGCUGUGAAAAGCUUUACAUGCUAAUAAAUACUACCAAUAAGUUCCAGACCCACAAUAAAUGUGAUAUAUAAGCUUCCAAUUGUCACAAAAAAUUUCAAUCCAGUAUUACUUUCUGCCAGAAAUUUAACAACUCUUAUGAUACAAGUGUACAUAAUACUUUUCAUGCUAAAGUAUUCACAAAAAUUGAAUCAUUCACUUUGCCAAAUUCAUUUUUUUUCUUUUUUCUGCAUUGAGUCUAUU